rnacentral:sRNA from 1 species
GAGAAUUUUAGAAUUUAAAAGGAUAUAUAGUUAAAUUGGUAAAGAUCUUAGGCGAAAUUUAGAGGUUGUCAGUUCGAGUGACGUUUGGAACGAAACUAACAUUACAUGCUUUGGUUUCGAAUCUGGAGGAAUUACGGAUUUCGGCCCAAAACCUCAUAAUAUUCAGGAAAAAAAAA